rnacentral:rRNA from 1 species
UGAGCAAUCUGCCCUUCUCAUCGGAAUAAGCGUUGGAAACGACGUCUAAUGCCGAAUACGACCUCCUUUCGCAUGAUCGGAGGUGGAAAGCUCCGGCGGAGAAGGAUGAGCUCGCGGCCUAUCAGCUAGUUGGUGUGGGUAACGCCCACCAAGGCGACGACGGGUAGCCGGCCUGAGAGGGUGACCGGCCACACUGGGACUGAGACACGGCCCAGACCUCCGUACGGGAGGNAG